rnacentral:tRNA from 1 species
GGGGGUAUAUCCCAGUGGUACAGCAAGUGCUUAGCAUGCACAAGGUCCUGGGUUCAAGCCCCAGUACCUCCA